GAUGAAGACGCAGCGAAAUGCGAUAAGUAAUGUGAAUUGCAGAAUUCAGUGAAUCAUCGAAUCUUUGAACGCACAUUGCGCCCCCUGGUAUUCCGGGGGGCAUGCCUGUCCGAGCGUCAUUACAACCCUCAAGCUCAGCUUGGUGUUGGGCCCCGCCGCCCCGGCGGGCCCUAAAGUCAGUGGCGGUGCCGUCCGGCUCCGAGCGUAGUAAUUCUUCUCGCUCUGGAGGUCCGGUCGUGUGCUCGCCAGCAACCCCCAAUUUUUUUCAGGUUGACCUCGGAUCAGGUAGGGAUACCCGCUGAACUUAAGCAUAUCAAUAGCGGAGGA
rnacentral:misc_RNA from 1 species